UGGGGGUUGGCCUAACUUAAGGUCUUCUCUUAAGGUUCCUCACAGUUAUGUGCAAUGUUGGGUCACUUUGGUUGACUCUGCCUAAAGCUUUUGACUUGAAAAAAGACUUGAGCAAUGGGCUGGCCUUAGGGGCCCCUAGUAUGUUUAUCAUACUAACCCCAAAGGUUUUUUCUACUAUGUCUAUGAAUUGAUGUAUGAAAAAAAAGUUAUUUGUUAACUUGAAGGCUUCUGUAAAAAGAGUCUUUAAAAACAACUCUUGGCAAUGGAUCUCUUGGUUCUCGCAUCGAUGAAGAGCGUAGCAAAGUGCGAUAAUUAUUGCGACUUGCAUUCAUAGUGAAUCAUCGAGUUCUUGAACGCAUCUUGCGCCUAGUAGUCAAUCUACUAGGCACAGUUGUUUCAGUAUCUGCAUCCACCAAUCAACUUAACCUUUUGUGUUGAGUUGGAACUGGGCUUCUAGUUGAUGGCAUUUAGUUGCUGUCAUGGCCUUAAAUCAAUGUCCUAGGUGUUAGAACAUCUAACACCGGAUGGAAACUUUAGAGCGCUUUAAGAGCAGCUUGGUUAGUGAGUUCAAUAAUUCCAAGCAUUAAGUCUUUUAAUGAACUAGCUUUUCUAUCUAUGGGACACUACUUGGAGAAAUCCAAGUAACCUUUAAACUCACAUUUAGAUCUGAAAUCAACUGAGACCACCCGCUGAACUUAAGCAUAUCAAUAAGCGGAGGAAAAGAAAAUAACCAUGAUUCCCCUAGUAACGGCGAGUGAAGAGGGAAAAGCUCAAAGUUGGAACCUGGCUGUCUUAGAUAGUCCGGAUUGUAAACUAAAGAGCGUGAAUCCAGGCAAGCCGGUUGAUCAAGUCCUUUGGAAUGAGGCGCCACUGAGGGUGAGAGCCCCGUAAAUCGACUGAGC
rnacentral:rRNA from 1 species